AACGACUCUCGGCAACGGAUAUCUCGGCUCUCGCAUCGAUGAAGAACGUAGCGAAAUGCGAUACUUGGUGUGAACUGCAGAAUCCCGUGAACCAUCGAGUCUUUGAACGCAAGUUGCGCCCCAAGCCUUCUGGCCGAGGGCACGUCUGCCUGGGUGUCACAAAU
rnacentral:rRNA from 1 species